CAAUAGCGUAUAUUAAAGUUGUUGCGGUUAAAAGCUCGUAGUUGGAUUUCUGUCGAAGACGGCCGGUCCGCUCUAUGAGCGUGUAUCUGGUUCGGCUUUGGCAUCCUCGUGGGGAAGACGUAACUGUGCUUGAUUGCAUGGUGCGGAAUUCACGACUUUUACUUUGAGGAAAUUAGAGUGUUCACGGCAGGCAAGCGCCUUGAAUACAUUAGCAUGGAAUAAUAAUAUAGGACUUUGGUUCUAUUUUGUUGGUUUCUAGAACUAAAGUAAUGAUUAAUAGGGAUAAUUGGGGCAUUGGUAUUUAACGCGUUACAGAGGUGGAAUUGCUUAUGGUAUUGCGUUACGACAAACUACUGCGAAAGCAUUUUGCCAAGGAUGUUUUCAUUGAUCAAGAACGAAAGUAUGGGGAUCGAAGACGAUUAGAU
rnacentral:rRNA from 1 species